rnacentral:rRNA from 1 species
UACGGAAGGCAGCAGUGGGGAAUAUUGCACAAUGGGCGAAAGCCUGAUGCAGCUAUGCCGCGUGUAUGAAGAAGGCCUUAGGGUUGUAAAGUACUUUCAUCGGGGAGGAAAAACAAAACUAAUAAUUUUAUUUCUUGACGUUACCCGAAAAAGAAGCACCGGCUAACUCCGUGCCAGCAGCCGCGGUAAUACGGAGGGUGCUAGCGUUAAUCAGAAAUUACUGGGCGUAAAGAGCACGUAGGUGGUUUUUUUAAAGUCAGAUGUGAAAUCCCUGGGCUUAACCUUAGGAACUGCAUUUUGAAACUGAAAUAACUAGAGUAUCGUAGAGGGAGGUAGAAUUCUAGGUGUAGCGGUGAAAUGCGUAGAUAUCUGGAGGAAUACCUGUGGCGAAAGCGGCCUCCUAAACGAAUACUGACACUGAGGGUGCGAAAAGCGUGGGGAGCAAACAGGAUUAGAUACC